UACGAAGGGGGCUAGCGUUGCUCGGAAUUACUGGGCGUAAAGCGCACGUAGGCGGCCCGCUAAGUCGAACGUGAAAUCCCUGGGCUCAACCCAGGAACUGCGUCCGAUACUGGUGGGCUUGAAUCCGGGAGAGGGAUGUGGAAUUCCAGGUGUAGCGGUGAAAUGCGCAGAUAUCAGGAGGAGCACCAAUUGCGAAGGCAGCUCGCUGGGACGUUACUGACGCUGGAGGAGCGAAAGCCGUGGGGAGCGAACAGG
rnacentral:rRNA from 1 species